AGAAGGAUUACUUAGCAAAGAAAAGCACAUUAUCUGAGAGGCAAUCCAAAAUCAACUUGAUGAAAUGACAUGAAUGUAGCCUGGAAGUUUACUGCAUCUGCCACAACUCAAUUUCCAGCAGAUUUAUUAUGCAAGGGCUGUGAAUACUGUGGGAAAUGCUGCCAUGGAGAUUGCAUAGAUAUUCGUGAGAAGGAUUCCUGCUUAUUUGGAAAGAGAAAAAGUUCUUUUCACAAAAUCUAAAUCUUCAGGCAUUUGCUGUUCAAAUAAAGAUAACUGGAACAGGUCGGGAAGGAAGAAAAGAAAAAAUGACAGAAAUAAAAUAGGAAUCUACCUCAAAAUACCCCCACAGUGGUGAAUGGAUUGCUUGUUAAUGUGUAAAUAAUUCCAAUAAGUAUGACUCUAGUCGAGGAAAACAACGUCACCAGUACCAGUAUCGAGUUUGUCCCACUUUUGCCCCGGAGAAAAAGAUUGAAACAGUAGUGAAAAAAGAGGAUAUAGUUCUAAAACCGAUCUUCAGUGAAGCAAACUAUACCGAUGAUGAUGGGAGCUGGGCCUGCGAAAAGAAAAUCCUCUGUUCCAGUUAGUAAGCCAUCUCAACAUUCAACUAACACAAAGGAAAAGGAAAAAUGAAGACAUCAUUCCUCUACUACUCUUUGGGAGCACCGUCGCCGAAAGAGAAUAACCUCGUCUACAGAUUAGAGAGGUGAAAGUGAGAUAAAAAAAUCUCCAGACGGAACAAGCAAAAGGUCAUCCAAUUACGGACCAUAAGAGACUUUGCGUCCAGAAACUAAAUACUGCAGUGACCAGUGCGGGCUGAAAUUGGCGACAACAAUACCAGGUAAAGGUAUUGUCUAGGUUUUGCGCUAACGGGUUCAAAAAUGUGGCUUAAUACCAGAUGAAGAAAAGAAGAAAAAAAGAAUUAGAAGGAAUUAGAACUAAUUUGUUAGUAGCAAAACGAAGCACGGGUAACUCUGAAAGAGCUGAAUGUUAAACAAAAGGUUGUUUUCGUCUAGGAGUUCAAUCAUUUUUAGGUUUUUUUUUUUUUUUCUGACGUGAUUA
rnacentral:lncRNA from 1 species